UUGUUUUUUUUAAAAACGUUGUCACUGCUAAAAAAUAGUAGUUGUUUGCACUAUUUAGACAAAUAAUUGACUACACUGAUCAAGUUAAGAAGACAUCACUCAGUAUGUUACGUUUUUGAAAAGGGGGAGGGGCUUUUUGAAGCAGGUUGCGUGAGCAGAGCUGCUUCACUGAAGAGAUGGGUUGACGCGCCAACGGUUAAUCUUUGAAAACAACGUGAAUCUGUCCAUGUGAGAAGAUGCAGUGGAAGUGACUCUGCUGAUGAUCAUGUGUUCCAAGACCUUGACCUUGGAAUCCUCCUUGUUGAGCGUGAAGGUGCUGUGUCUCCGUCCUCUCUGCAUGUCAAUCCAGCCUCAUUUAAGAUUGUCAUCGAGGGAGAAGUUGUGAUGAAAAGCAUUAAAGACUUGCCAAAGGCUAUGUAGCUUCUCUUUGGACUUACGUAUGCACUUCAUCUAAGCUACCCCAAACCAAUGAAGAACACAUUUCAGUUCAUCCAGCAGGUACUUCUAAUGUUGGGCCACACUGACUUGAAGCCCAGGUUACAGACAUUAAAGAACCAGCUUGCAAUUUAAUUUUGACAGGAGUGGCUGUUUACUGUUCUUGAUGUGCACAAUUAAUCUCUGAGGUGAUUCUCUUGUUCCAAAUAUCCUGUCAUUGCUGUAAGUUAAAUUAAACCAGUUAAAUUAGAAGAGGUUAAAAGAGAAAGAGGUUAAAAAGAGAAAGAGGUUAAAAGAGAAAAUAAAGAGUUAAAUUGUACCAGUUUUCUGUGGUAAAAAUGUUUAAAAUUCACAGGAGUCAUCUUUGUUUUAAAGAGUUGACUCAAGUUUUAAUGCUUAUCCAGUUUUAAAGCAUGUUUAGUCAUUCAGAGGGAUAUGGCAUAUUGUUGAAUACUAUGUGUUCAUGUUACUGUAAGCAAUUUGUACAGUUGUUGACUAGCAAAUAAGAAUUGUAUGUCAAAAAAUGUUACUUGUCUUUUGUAUGACAAGUUCAUACAUGGAUGAAUACACUGUAUUGCCUGUUUUUAUGAGCAAUAAAAACAUUGGAAUGCGGUUAGUUUA